rnacentral:lncRNA from 1 species
UCGAUCAUGCAGAAGGUUGUCGUUUGGUGAUUGCGACAAUCUUCCAUUUUUCUGUUUUAAGUUUGUAUGAGCGUUUAGUUUUGUCACGAAAUCGCCAAAGGUGGAGAUUGUUAAGGAUUUGUCUAAGUUGGUGGAUUUCAUGAAGUCGAUUGGAGUCUUCAAGAGUUGAAGAUGAAGAAUUGAAGCCAAGAUUACAAGAUUUGGGAGAUAAAGACUCGUUCGUGAUGCUCGUUUACUCAAGUAUGUAGGUUAAUAAUUUGUGGUAAAAUUAUACUUGAGAAAAAGUGUUUAGAAGACUUAGGAUUGGUUAUAAACAUAUAAACUGGAAAAUUCUGACUUUUUCCAUGUUCGGGAUCCGGACCCUAAGGAGGAUACGGACCCCGUAGGUCCUCUCUGCAUGAUACGCAGAGAGGGUCCGGAUCUGAGCUUCAGGAUUCGGACCCCGUAGGUCCUCUCUGCAUGAUACGCAAGGAGGGUCCGGACCUGAGCUUCAGGAUCCGGACCCCGUAGGUCCUCUUUGCAUGAUACGCAGGGAGGGUCCGGACCUGGGCUUCAUGAUCCGGAACCCGUACCAUAUAUUUCCUGAUACGCAGAGAGGGUCCGGACCUGAGCUUCAGGAUCCGGACCUCGUAGGUCCUCUCUGCAUGAUACGCAGGGAGGGUCCGGACCUGGGCUUCACGAUUCGGAACCCGUACCAUAUAUUUCCUGAUAC